GGGCCAUGGCACAGUGGUAGAGCAUCUGCUUUGCAUUCAGAAGGUUGCAGUUUCAAUCCCUGGCAUCUUCA